GUACUCGCUUCAGCAACACAUAUACUAAAAUGGGAAUGAUACAGAGAAGAUGAGCAUGACCCCUGCACAAGGAUGACAUGCAAAUUCAUGAAACAUUCCAUAUUUUU
ensembl:snRNA U6 U6 spliceosomal RNA